GAUGAACGCUGGCGGCGUGCCUAAUACAUGCAAGUCGAGCGAACGGACGAGAAGCUUGCUUUUCUGAUGUUAGCGGCGGACGGGUGAGUAACACGUGGAUAACCUACCCAUAAGACUGGGAUAACUUCGGGAAACCGGAGCUAAUACCGGAUAAUAUUUUGAACCGCAUGAUUCAAAAGUGAAAGACGGUCUUGCUGUCACUUAUAGAUGGAUCCGCGCUGCAUUAGCUAGUUGGUAAGGUAACGGCUUACCAAGGCAACGAUGCAUAGCCGACCUGAGAGGGUGAUCGGCCACACUGGAACUGAGACACGGUCCAGACUCCUACGGGAGGCAGCAGUAGGGAAUCUUCCGCAAUGGGCGAAAGCCUGACGGAGCAACGCCGCGUGAGUGAUGAAGGUCUUCGGAUCGUAAAACUCUGUUAUUAGGGAAGAACAUAUGUGUAAGUAACUGUGCACAUCUUGACGGUACCUAAUCAGAAAGCCACGGCUAACUACGUG
rnacentral:rRNA from 1 species